rnacentral:rRNA from 1 species
GGAGGAAAAGAAACUAACAAGGAUUCCCCUAGUAACUGCGAGUGAAGCGGGAAAAGCUCAAAUUUAAAAUCUGGUGGUCUUCGGCCAUCCGAGUUGUAAUCUAGAGAAGUGUUACCCGCGUCGGACCGUGUACAAGUCUCCUGGAAUGGAGCGUCAUAGAGGGUGAGAAUCCCGUCUUUGACACGGACUACCGAGGCUUUGUGGUGCGCUCUCAAAGAGUCGAGUUGUUUGGGAAUGCAGCUCAAAAUGGGUGGUAAAUUCCAUCUAAAGCUAAAUAUUGGCGAGAGACCGAUAGCGAACAAGUACCGUGAGGGAAAGAUGAAAAGAACUUUGGAAAGAGAGUUAAACAGUACGUGAAAUUGCUAAAAGGGAAACGCUUGAAGUCAGUCGCGUUGGCCGGAAAUCAGCCUUGCUUUUGCUGGGUGUACUUUCUGGUUGACGGGCCAGCAUCAGUUUUGACCGGUGGAAAAAGUCUAGGGGAAUGUGGCAUCUUCGGAUGUGUUAUAGCCCUUGGUCGUAUACAUCGGUUGGGACUGAGGAACUCAGCACGCCGCAAGGCCGGGUCUUUGACCACGUUCGUGCUUAGGAUGCUGGCAUAAUGGCUUUAAUCGACCCGUCUUGAAACACGGACCAAGGAGUCUAACAUGCCUGCGAGUGUUUGGGUGGAAAACCCGGACGCGUAAUGAAAGUGAAAGUUGAGAUCCCUGUCAUGGGGAGCAUCGACGCCCGGACCAGAAGUUUUCUGACGGCCCUGCGGUAGAGCAUGUAUGUUGGGACCCGAAAGAUGGUGAACUAUGCCUGAAUAGGGUGAAGCCAGAGGAAACUCUGGUGGAGGCUCGUAGCGAUUCUGACGUGCAAAUCGAUCGUCAAAUUUGGGUAUAGGGGCGAAAGACUAAUCGAACCAUCUAGUA